AAACCGUGGUGGGGGCAAUAACUCAACAAGUUCUUGUACCUCCCCCAUGCAUCAUACGUACUCUCAUCAUCAAACUACAUAAAAGAGGAAAUAUAAUUAUGUAUCU
rfam:Ricinus communis cultivar Hale ctg_1100012359432, whole genome shotgun sequence.